GACGAACGCUGGCGGCGUGCUUAACACAUGCAAGUCGAACGAAGGGGCGAACGGGUGAGUAACGCGUAAUCAACCUGCCCUUCAGAGGGGGACAACAGUUGGAAACGACUGCUAAUACAGCAUACUGAAGGAGGGGAUUGCGUCUGAUUAGCUAGUUGGAGUGGUAACGGCCCACCCAGGCGAUGAUCAGUAGCCGGUCUGAGAGGAUGGACGGCCACAUUGGGACUGAGACACGUCCCCGACGCCUACGGGAGGCAGCAGUGGGUAAUCUUCCGCAAUGGACGAAAGUCUGACGGAGCAACGCCGCGUGAGUGAUGACGGCCUUCGGUUUUUAAAGCUCUGUUAAUCGGGACGCGGUACCGGAAUAGAAAGCCACGGCUAACUACGUGCCAGCAGCCGCGGUAAUAC
rnacentral:rRNA from 1 species